GGGCCGUCUCGGCCUUUGGCCAAGAUCACAGAGAUUCUGUUCUAUCAGCUUAAUAUCUGAUAUGUCCUCUAUAUGAGGACUACAUAUUAAGCAGAUUUUUGGGCAUGAGGGGUAAUUUGGAGCUUGCUCCUUUCUCUCCACGCAUCGACCUAGCACUGCAGUGCCGCUGGGAACGGUGCACUCUUG